ensembl:lincRNA
UGUGACUUAGGGACCACACUUUGAGACUCACUGCAUGAGACAAAUGCUUGUCUUUGUACUGUCUGCCUAAUGGGAGUUUCUCCCAAUAGCUAGAGCUGAGCAUUUAUAGCCCUGCUUCACCCUAGGAGGUAAGACCAGGUGUGGGCUCACACUGCUUCUACUCUGGACCUUUUGUGCACAUUGUGUAAUGAGAUAUGUCAGGCUCCAAAUGUCCCAGUUUUACUAGUGAUGGCAGCAUGAGCUUCAGGAUAAGAACAGGGGAGAUCAUAUAUUUCAGGAAAUGAAGGAUUAACCAGGGUGGCUACAGAACAUUAAAAAAAAAAUUUAAAGCCAGUCAUUUUGGUUCAGCUGUCCCUGGCUUUUAUUUCACCCAGGUAGAGGAAGAAGCAAAGAGACUGCCUUGUUUUGAGAACAUGGAGCUCAACCUCAAAGCCAGGGUGCUGGAGGAGAACAUGGAAAUCAGUUCUUUCUGUUGCCUGGGGGCAGAGCCUUGUGUAUGAAUAGGGAUGUUCUGAAGACACCCAGGGUAGAAGCACUGUGUCAUUCAAGCAUUCCUGAUGGCUGGAGAGCCAUCCUCAAAGUGGCACUGGCAAACAGGUGCGGUACUUGUCAGGAUUCCAGCCUUGAGACCACUUGGGCUGCCUGUCAGCAAACUCCAUGUUGGUGUCUGGAGCAGGUAGCAGCUGCAGGCUGUAACGUCCUCCGCUACGGCAUUCACUUCCAGGCUCACAUGCAAAUCGCCAGCAACUAUGAAGAGAAUAACUCCCAGCUUCCAGGCCCACACAGUUUUGCUGAUCACGAAUGAAAUCUUGAAGAACAUCCAUCUCUUGUGUGAGUAGGAAGAGAAUUUAUUAAAAGUUAUUCAUGUCAAAGUGCUAGUAAUUUUAGUCCUUUUCAGGAGCAUUUAAAUUUUUGAGGAGGCUAUCAGGAAAGGGCAAUGAUGAUUGCAAAGGAUCAUUCAGUAGUGAUCAAAUUUUAGGCCCUGCAAAGAGAGAGAAUGUUUAUUCAGAAUAGGUCCCACCCUGAUUAGAUGGCUAACUGCUUUGCUUACAAAACCAAUCAUGAAGUAUAGGACUGAGAAUUGUCUUUUCUUAAUUUUGUACUUUUCAUCUCCCUUUUUAUUUACACUUCACAGCCACAUUUCUGCUCUACUUAAAAAAAAAAAAAAACAUAACAAACAAACAAAAACUGGAAGCCAACAAUGGAAAAGAGGGACCAGGAAGACAAGAAGUGAACAUCUUAAAGAAAGAUAUUAAGUGUCUAAAGGCAUGAAGAUGACUUGUGUUUAUUUAGGAAUAAUCUAGAUGCUUUGCACCUGGAGCAGAAAGAACACAAUUAAUGGUGAAGGACUUGUCCAAAUGAUGAGAAAAAAUUCACAAUGUGGGCCCACUCUACAUCUCUGAAAGGAAGAAGUCAGCAAACAUCCCUAAGGGCCUACCUUUCAGCUAUUUGUUUCACUUACUCCACUUAAAAAUUUCCAAGGGACAUGAACAGAGACAAGAUCUAUUUUGAAAGUGCAAUUUACACUCUCAAGGUGUCCUAUGUUAGCUAGCACGUUAGUGAAAAAUAAGCCAACUGGUAGGAAAGAAGAUGACAAUGAAACAAGGGAGAGUGUGGGCAUAGAUAUUAAUAUUAAAUGGGUCAGGUUAAAGUUAAAUUAAUUCACUGUCUUUUAUGCUGUAUGUUAAACUGGCAAUCCGUGAAAGUUAGAUGCACAGAAAUAAUGUUCAGUCUUUCAUUCAAAGUUUCCACAGCAUUUCAUCUAGGUAAAGACGUUACACCUAAUAUAUGAACUUUUUUAAAAAAAGGAAAGAAGACCUGUGCUUUAAAAUAAAUGUUUCUUUUUUUCUCAUUAUAAAAUAAUACCACACACUCCUUUUAGAAAAACAAUAAGGACAGUAUAAGAAAACAAUUAAAAUGGCAAUAAUCUUACUAUCAAGUGAUAAGCACUACUACUAUUUUUGAUACAUUUUCUAUAAUAUCCCUUUUGAUACAUUUUCUAUAAUAUCCCUACAUUAUUAUAGUAUUCAAAUAAUAGCCCACUUAGUAUUCUUUUAUUACAUGUUAAGAUUGGUCCUCAUUUUUAAAAUAUUACAAACAAAACUCUGAUGAAUAUCCUGGUACAACUGUCAUAUGCUUACUUAUUACUUUAUCAGGUUUAAAAAAUUAUUUUCCACACAACAUCUAUUUUAUCUUUUUUUCCAAUUCAUGGUACAUGUUUUUCUUAUUAAGCUGGAAUUGUUCUUCAUAUGUUAAAGAUAUUAACAUUUGUAAUAUGUGUCUCAAAUGUUCCCCCAAUUUUUUAUCCAUCUCUUAAAUUAUGAUGUCUUUAUUGAUUUGCAGAAGUUGUCCAGAUGUAUUUAUCUUCUUUUGGUGUUUCUUCCAUUGCUUUUGAAAGUCCUUCAUCA